GAGUUUGAUCCUGGCUCAGGACGAACGCUGGCGGCGCGCCUAACACAUGCAAGUCGAACGGAGCUGAGAGAAGCUUGCUUUUCUUAGCUUAGUGGCGAACGGGUGAGUAACGCGUGAGUAACCUGCCCUGGAGUGGGGGACAACAGGGGGACAACAGUUGGAAACGACUGCUAAUACCGCAUAAGCCCACGAUCCGGCAUCGGAUUGAGGGAAAAGGAUUUAUUCGCUUCAGGAUGGACUCGCGUCCAAUUAGCUAGUUGGUGAGGUAACGGCCCACCAAGGCGACGAUUGGUAGCCGGACUGAGAGGUUGAACGGCCACAUUGGGACUGAGACACGGUCCAAACUCCUACGGGAGGCAGCAGUGGGGAAUAUUGCACAAUGGGGGAAACCCUGAUGCAGCAACGCCGCGUGAGUGAAGAAGUAUUUCGGUAUGUAAAGCUCUAUCAGCAGGGAAGAUAAUGACGGUACCUGACUAAGAAGCUCCGGCUAAAUACGUGCCAGCCGCCGCGGUAAUUC
rnacentral:rRNA from 1 species